GCUACCACAUUAAGUUCCUACGAAAUCCUCAAGAUGAAAGAGAAUUGCUGCUGAGAUGAAUGGCUCAGUGGGAGCAGCUCCAAGAAGCUUGAAGAGCUCCUGAUGGCCCCAGAGCUGGCACCACGUGGCCAGGGGGUUUUACAGCCUCUUGGCCUUAUGGUCCUUUUAAAAACGAUUUAGGCCUCAAACCGUUAUUAGAGCAACUCCUCAUUAUUGAAAACAAUGAUUUGCUCAUUAUGCAAAGUACAACAGUCAUGCCAUCAGAACACCUGGGAGCAAAAUCCAGCUGUAUAAAUUGGACUCUGAUCCAGAAAUUUUAAUGAGAGUAACAGAAUGUGGUCCUAAAAAAAUACACUCAUUAAAAAUAAAAUUUGUGUUAUGCGCCUGCUUGUUUGUAACUCAUUCUCUUAGCUCAGCAUAUUUCUCUUAUUUGAAUAGAUUUAUAUCAUUUUAAAGUUCUAUAGAUUUAUACUGAUGAUCCAAAUCUAUUUAAAGUUGUUUCUUCAACUCCUUUCCUGACACAGCCAAAAAAGCACAGACACACAAAAUCCUGCCAUUGAUAAUUACCACAUAGUUCUUUCAGUUGAGAAAUAUCCCACAUCAUUUACUGCCUACUGAGAUGCAAUCAAAAUUAAAUGGGUGGAAAUAACUCUGAAGUGGCAGCUUUAAGCUCUACCAAAGGAGUGCAGGGUCUUAUUUUCAUGACAACAGAGAAAAUGGCCUUCUGGGUCAAACUAAUCAUCCGUUUCACCUCCAACAGUGGCAAUACGAAAUGCUGCUCCCAGAAAAUUUGUGAUCCCUGCCCCUCUGCAGUCCUCCUCCUGGUACCCCUCCAGCACCCACAACCCUGAUGAGGAUGGCAGCGAGCACAUUCCUGCCUGUGCCUUUCAGUAUCUUUUUAUGGACCUGCUGCCCUGGAGUUUGUCUGCUUCACCUUUUUUUCAGCUUGUUGACACUAUGGGUUUCCACAGCCUCCUGUAGCAGCAAAUUCCAGAAGGUAGGGUAGGUAUAUCUGUGGUAUAAAACAAGUAUCUUCCUUCACAGAUUUUAAACUUCUCUCCAACUACUUUCAGUAAGUACCCAUAAGAUACCAUAGAACUUGGCAAAUAACAAUUCUGUAUUGCUUUACUCACUGCCUUCACGGUUUUGUAAGCCUUGACCCUCAAGCCUUUGGUUGUGGGAGUGGGAUAAGAUCAUGAAAGUCACAGGUGUUUCGGUUUUGCAGCUCCAUCCCUUUAAUAAUCUUUCUUGUCUUUCUCUGCAUCUUCUCAGAUUUCUCUAUGUCCUUUAUAAAAUGUGGAAACACACAGUGUUCAGGAUGUGAAUGCACCAAGAUUUUGUUUUCUAUUUUGCUCUUAGCAUCUGUUCUGAGAGUACCCAAAACUUUGUUCCUCUUUCUAGCUGCUGCUGCAUUUGAAACAGAUGAAUUCAGAGAGCUGCCAGCAGCAAUGCCCAUUCUCUCCAUCCUGAGCUGCAGCUGCCAGUUUGCAGCUCAGCACUGGGGCUCCUUGCCACGUGUGUGUCAUUUGACUCCCUGAAGCAGUACAGUUGUAUCUGCAAACUUUGAGAUAUUUCUUCAACAUUUCCUUGUGCAGGCAGCUUUCAGUUCACCCAAGCAUCAGUCUCAUGGCAACUUAUUUUCUUCAGUAGUAUUCUGUCAGGAACCUCGUCAAUGGCUUGUUGAAAACCCAAGUAAAAUGUACCACAGAUAUAUGGAUACCCUGUAUAACUUCCAAAAGCUAGUGAGGCAGGAUUUCCCUUUACAGGCAUUAGUAAGCCCAGUGAAGCCCACCACUUGUGUGUGGAAAUGGUAGAAAAUCCUCUUUGGGUGAUUCUGUGCUAAUCCAAGUGUUGGCAGCUAGAAGCUGCUUCUGAGCAACAGGAACCUGAGAGGGAUGGAUCUUUCUAUAUAGACUUAAUACUUAGCAAAUCUAUCUAGGGUGAAGAAGCUUAGAUCAAAACAGCCCAAGUGAGGGGAUGUUAAGAAGUCUGCAAUAAAUUGAAAUAUAUCUAUUCUGGAUAGACAAAAACAAAAUACAGUGCCUGUAAAAGCCUUCCCAGCAUGGAAACUCCCUCGUAUAUUUAGUUUAACCCCAAGACUCUUUUUGACCAGUUUUCUGCAGGAGGUGAAGCUACCGAUGGAAAGCAGACAGCAAGGCUGUUGUCAGACAUGAAGGUGACUCUGGAUCUUGACAUGUUUCCCUAACAUGUUUUUAAAUUGUGGAACUUGUGCUGAAGUAGUGCUCAACACCAAAUUAAAGUCCUGUUUCCUUAAAACAAAGGAAUGUCUGUUCUGUUCUGCUGCUGAACAGUCAGAAAUAAUACUUACCCGAGAAACUAUCAAGUACAAGCCUCUGCCAGAGUACAAAUAAUUUAAAACUUUGAGGUUAGGAUUUUCAGUAGUGGCUGAGAAGACAGAUACCCAAUUCCCAUUACGUUUAAGGGAAAGCUAAUUUCCUCAGACUGCUUCAGAAAACUGCUUGUAGGUUAGGUUGUAAUGGUCAUAACUGACAUUUAACUACAGAGUAUAAGAUAAAAUGUCCUGGACUGCUUGGAGAAAAAAUAAAGCUAUUUUCUUCAAUGCCUCUUCCUUUUGACUCUGACAAGUCAAAUCAGUUAAACAAUUGACUUUUUCAUAAAGUAAAUUUUCUUUGAAAUGCCACAAGGUGGUAGAAAAUCUAACAGAAAUUACUCAAGAGUUCAUCUUUAUUCCUAUUAAUGACAUUCACUACUUUUCCACUAAGUAGGCCAGAUACAUUUGCACUAUAAAGAACUGGACUAUAAUGCUAAAAACAUGCAAAACUAUGUGGCGAUUCAUCCUUGCUGAGGAGAGAAAUGAGGUGGUAAAGAAGCAAUGUGCCAAAUUUCACUCUUAAAUUUUAUAUUGGACCAUAGAUAAAGAGGAAGAUAAAGAAGCUCCCCCUCCCUCUCACACAGAGACACUAACACAAUUUUCUUGUUUUCUGAUGGUGAACAAAUUGUGCUAUUAGAAGAGAGAAGAGUGCGUCUGAUAUCCCCAGGAGGGGAGAUCAAUAGCAGACACAGAAGCAAGUACAGAAGCUGUGGGUAAGAUUAAGUUUGGAAGAAGGUGACAGGAAUGAAAGAAGAUGGAAAUGGAUGGGAGUGUCCUGACUGAUAGGAAUCAAGGCUGGAGGGCAACUAGGAUCACAGAAAGCUUUUGGAAUAAAGGGGAAUGAAUUGGUGAGAGACACAAAUGAAAAUUUCUGUACAUAACAGAAAUAACAGAAAAGCCAGGGUGAGACAGGAUGUGUGGAGAUCCACAGAAGCAGAGUGGUCUUUAGUAGACAACUCUGCUAUAUAAUCUGUAGAGAAAUCUGCUUUUUAUGAGUCUCCACACAGCUACCUGUUGACAAGAACAUGUGGCAUUAACUUUGUGUAAUGGCAGAUCUAUCUAAGCCUGCCAUCAUCUACAUGGAAGUUGAGGAUAACUAUCUCAGAUGCAAACACCUCCACCAUAGACAACUGCACACAGCCUCUUGAGAUGCUUUGACAUCUCCAUGAGAGAUCGUAUAUCUCUUACCGUUCUCCAGGAUGCUGAGAUGAUUCUUCCACAACUCACAGGGUGGUGAGGUGACGCUGAAGAGCUGCUGAACCUUCCCAGCUCCAAUGUGUGGAAGCAGCACUGCAGGAAGAGCUUCUUGCUGAAGGAAACCUGUAUCCAUUGGGCGUGCCGGGCAAGGAGAUUAGAUCUGACUUCAUGGAACAGUCACAGAAUUUCACUGGAGCAUGAAGGAGGCUUUCAAUUGAUCUGGAAAAGCAGAAGCUGACACAUUCCUUUGUGAGGAAGCUGGGUCAUACACAUAAGCUACGUGCACAGAUGGUGCUCUGGCUGCUGAUCUCCUGGCUGUGUGCAACCACAGAACAGUUAGCCUUCCAAACAUACCAGCCCCCUACCCACUUUUCCCCAAGCCUCUUCCUAUCCUCAAUCCUUAAAUACCCUUAGCAAUUAAAAUGCCAUCAAUCUCUGCAAAAUGUGGAUGUGAAUCAUGGGCAAUUAACAAAGGAAAACAAAGGGUUCAUUUAGAAAACUGCCAGUUCAAAUCUGAGUGGGAAGCAAGACUCUUUAUGAAAGUAUUAGAGUUCUCUCUCAACUCUGUGAAGCUAGGCUGACAAGCUUAAUUGAUUCACGUACAGUGGUGUCAGUCAAAAAUAGGACCAUAAAGUUUCAUGAUACUUGUAGAUGUGGUGACUGUAAUGGAAUGUAUCCUGUCAGUGUAUCAGCAAGGGAGAAGAUGGAGCAGCUGACACUGUUAAACAUUUCUGGAUGCUAGUGUCUGAGUCAUAUGAUUAUCGUUGGAGAACAGGACUGUGCAGGUUUGUUGCAUUUAGCCUAGAACAGAUGUCCUUUAGAAGUUCUAAAACUGUGACAGAGUGCACAAAAGAAGGCAGUAAAUA